rnacentral:lncRNA from 1 species
GAGGAAGGAACGCGCCUGGCGUCACUGAGGGUGUCACCCGGGACCGCGGCUCAGGAACCCCAGACGCACGGGCCUUGUGCUGUCGCUGCCGUGGCACCCCUUCUAGAAGAAAAUCUAGGUAUCUUGCACCAAGAAGUGGAAAAUAAAGAAGAGAAAUGAGAACCAUGUUUGUAUUGGCUGUCUAUAAAAUAAGAGUUCUAGGUACAUGAAAUCCACUGGUGUGCUGGUAAAUGUUUAAUAACCAGUCCUCUGGAAAGGAGAAAGUUGAAGACCCCAUUUAUACAUUUGCUCAUUUCUGUGGUGUAAAUACCCUGAAAAUAGCUGAUUUCGAGCUAUCAACAUUACUGAAGAUGGAGCUGGGAAGAGGGAGAAGUUAAGUGAAGUUUUCCAACCCACAGCUGUUUUGGCUGAGGCUCCAAAGACUGAGAAUAAAUCAGUAUCUGCCCAGUCACCACGGUGUGCCAAAGGAGGUGCUGGAUUGCCUCGUCAGGACAUGCUACAUGGAUGGAGAGAAGAUUCCUUGGGGAGAUUUGGUGUGUGCAUAACCAGUCCUUCCAGCACUGGAGAAAGGAGGAGUCCUGCACAGGUUGUACACGAUUCUUUCCACCUGGAAACUUGAAACAUGUGCCCUGGAGUUGAGGAUGCUUGGUUUAAUGAUACUGACCUGCAAUUGAGAAGACCAAAAGGGCGAGACAUACCUUCACGCAAGGCGAGGAUGCAUGAGUUUUCCUGUGAAGCAGGAAAGAGUUUAACAAUUCACGGUUGCACAGUAGCGCUAGCGGCUUUGCGGUUUGGUCCUCAGACCCGGCAGCCGCCACUGGUGAUGAGCUGCUAGGAAGCCCCUGUCGGCAAGCUCGUUGGAGCUUGAAUCCACUGUCACCCCUCUGACUCACUGGCAAAAAAAAAAAAAAAGUUGAAGCAGAUUGUCCAGCAAAGUUCUUCAUUGGUGGGCUUAAUACGGAAACAAAUAAGAAAGCUCUUGAAGCAGUAUUUGGCUAAUAUGGACGAAUAGUGGAAGCACUCUUGAUGAAAGAGCAUGAAACCAACAAAUCAAGAGGAUUUGCUUUUGUCACCUUUGAAAGCCCAGCAGAUGCUAAGGAUGCAGCCAGAGACAUGAAUGGAAAGUCAUUAGAUGGAAAAGCCAUCAAGGUGGAACAAGCCACCAAACCAUCAUUUGAAAGUGGUAGACGUGGACUGCCUCCACCUCCAAGAAGUAGAGGCCCUCCAAAAGGUCUUAGAGGUGGAAGAGGAAGAAGUGGAGGAACCAGGAGACCUCCCUCAUGGAGAAGACACAUGGAUGACAGUGGAUACUCCAUGAAUUUUAACAUGAGUUCUUCCAGGGGACCACUCCCAGUAAAAAGAAGACCACCACCAAGAAGUGGGGGUCCUCCUCCUAAGAGUUCUGCACCUUCAGGACCAGUUCGCAGCAGCAGUGGAAUGGGAGGAAGAGCUCCUGUGUCACGUGGAAGAGAUAGUUAGUGCGGUCCACCUGGAAGGGAACCGCUGCCCUCUCGUAGAGGGUUCUUCUUGAAGACAGUUCUUCAAGCAGAGAUUAGCCAAGUUCUCGUGAUACAAGAGGUUAUGCACCACCACCACCGCGAGAUUGUACUUACCGUGAUUAUGGUCAUUUCAGUUCACGUGAUGACUAUCCAUCAAGAGGCUAUAGCGAUAGAGAUGGAUAUAAUAGUGAUCAUGACUAUUCAGAUCAUCCAGCUGGAGAUUCCUACAGAGAUUCAUAUGAAAGUUAUCGUAACUCACGUAGUGCUCCACCUACAGGAGGGCCCCCGCCCCCCCAUCUUAUGGUGGAAGCGAUGAUUAUAGCAGUUCACGUGACGGAUAUGGUGGAAGUCGAGACAGUUACUCAAGCAGCCGAAGUGAUCUCUAAUCAAGUGGUCGUGGUCGGGUUGGCAGACAAGAAAGACGGCUUCCCCCUUCUAUGGAAAUCCUCCACGUGAUUCCCACGGCAAUUCAGGCGGUGGAGCACCAAGAGGUGGUGGCAGUGGAGGAAGCCGAUCUGAUAGAGGGGGAGGCAGAAGCAGAUACUAGAAACAAACAAAACUUUAGACCAAAAUCCCAGUUCAAAGAAACAAACAAAAAGUGCAAACUAUUCUGUCAUAACUACCCAAGGACUACUUAAAGGAAAAAUUGUGUUACCUUUUAAAAAUUCCCUGUUAAGUUCCCCUCCGUAAUUUUUAUGUUCUUGUGAGGAAA